rnacentral:rRNA from 1 species
UACGUAGGUGGCAAGCGUUGUCCGGAAUUAUUGGGCGUAAAGCGCGCGUAGGCGGCCGCGCAAGUCGGAUGUGAAAACCCGGGGCUCAACCCCGGGCGUGCAUUCGAUACUGCGCGGCUCGAGACAGGUAGGGGAGAUCGGAAUUCCUGGUGUAGCAGUGAAAUGCGUAGAUAUCAAGAGGAACACCAGUGGCGAAGGCGAGUCCCUGGACAAUACCUGACACUGAGGCACGAAAGCUAGGGGAGCAAACAGG